AGCAGCCGCGGUAAUUCCAGCUCCAAUAGCGUAUAUUAAAGUUGUUGCAGUUAAAAAGCUCGUAGUUGAAUUUCGGGGUUAGUAGGUUGGUCAUGCCUCCGGUAUGUACUGAUCUCACUGAUUCCUCCUUCCUUAUGAACCGUAAUGCCAUUAAUUUGGUGUUGCGGGGAAUUUGGACUGUUACUUUGAAAAAUUAGAGUGUUUAAAGCAAGCUAACGCUUGAAUACAUUAGCAUGGAAUAAUGAAAUAGGACGUUCGAUCUUAUUUUGUUGGUUUCUAGGAUUGACGUAAUGAUUAAUAGGGAUAGUUGGGGGCAUUAGUAUUCAAUUGUCAGAGGUGAAAUUCUUGGAUUUAUUGAAGACUAACUACUGCGAAAGCAUUUGCCAAGGAUGUUUUCAUUAAUCAAGAACGAAAGUUAGGGGAUCGAAGACGAUCAGAUACCGUCGUAGUCUUAACCAUAAACUAUGCCGACUAGGGAUCGGAUGAUGUUAAUUUUUA
rnacentral:sRNA from 1 species